rnacentral:rRNA from 1 species
UACGUAGGGUGCAAGCGUUGUCCGGAAUUAUUGGGCGUAAAGAGCUCGUAGGCGGUUUGUUGCGUCGGCUGUGAAAUCCCGAGGCUCAACCUCGGGUCUGCAGUCGAUACGAGCAAACUAGAGUGUUGCAGGGGAGACUGGAAUUCCUGGUGUAGCGGUGAAAUGCGCAGAUAUCAGGAGGAACACCGGUGGCGAAGGCGGCAUCCUGGACCAUGACUGACGCUGAGGAGCGAAAGCCAGGGGAGCAAACGGG